rnacentral:rRNA from 1 species
UGGGAGGCUUUGAAGUGUGGACGCCAGUCUGCAUGGAGCCGACCUUGAAAUACCACCCUUUAAUGUUUGAUGUUCUAACGUGGACCCGUGAUCCGGGUUGCGGACAGUGUCUGGUGGGUAGUUUGACUGGGGCGGUCUCCUCCUAAAGAGUAACGGAGGAGCACGAAGGUUGGCUAAUCCUGGUCGGACAUCAGGAGGUUAGUGCAAUGGCAUAAGCCAGCUUGACUGCGAGCGUGACGGCGCGAGCAGGUGCGAAAGCAGGUCAUAGUGAUCCGGUGGUUCUGAAUGGAAGGGCCAUCGCUCAACGGAUAAAAGGUACUCCGGGGAUAACAGGCUGAUACCGCCCAAGAGUUCAUAUCGACGGCGGUGUUUGGCACCUCGAUGUCGGCUCAUCACAUCCUGGGGCUGAAGUAGGUCCCAAGGGUAUGGCUGUUCGCCAUUUAAAGUGGUACGCGAGCUGGGUUUAGAACGUCGUGAGACAGUUCGGUCCCUAUCUGCCGUGGGCGCUGGAGAACUGAGGGGGGCUGCUCCUAGUACGAGAGGACCGGAGUGGACGCAUCACUGGUGUUCGGGUUGUCAUGCCAAUGGCACUGCCCGGUAGCUAAAUGCGGAAGAGAUAAGUGCUGAAAGCAUCUAAGCACGAAACUUGCC